UGUUUUUAAACCGUUUUCUUUUUGCUUUUAGUUCUUUUAUCGAGAAAUGAUAACGGGGAGUUUUAGAAAUAUCUCCUAGGACAAUGAGACUUUUAAGAAAAGUCUGAAUUACUAUAUUGGUUAAACAUAACCUGGAACGCAUCUAUCGGUUCAAUACGCGACAAACGACGCCGAGGUAUUCGCUUUCGAAAGCAAUAUCGUGGUGGACCGGUCUGCCCACUACAACCGCAAGAGGAUCAGCAAAAAAAGAGAAGUAGGGAAAAAGUAAAAAAAAAGAAAAGAAAAAGAAGAAUAAUCCUACCAUAGGAAACGGCGCAUUACACAUCGUGCUGAACACCGUAGUCUUCCAAGCUGAUAGCAGGACCUUAAAUCCUCCUUGUGGUUUCUCGUAUCUACGAUACAUGGUGACAUUGCACAUUUCUUAAGUGUGCUCGGUAUCACGGACUUCUUAAUCUCGGACGUGACAAAUUACUUCUUCGUGUCGGGGAACACGUUUAUUUCUUUUCCGUCCAUUUUUCUCGUGACGCUUUAUUUGCAUCUUUAUGCCAGUUCGCGCCGAACGUGAUUUGGAAAGUGUAUUUGGAGAGAGGAGUCGAAAAAUAUGUCGGAUAUAUUGAAGUACAAUUUUGUCUCCUCAAGCAUGAACUGAAUAUUCAUUUUUCGUCGGUCGAGGUAUCGCGGUUUCUUCAACAAAGGGAUUUCGAAGAGUGCCUCUGUUACUUUUACUACCGAUGGUUGUUUGGACCUUUAUCUUUGACAUUUUACUUUUACUCGAAUAUAGACGUGUUCGUGUAACAGGUAUGAUUCUGUUUUGCGGCUGUUCGAUUACUUCAAAAUUGACUAACAACACGAUGGCUACCAGAUGAGAGUUGCCAACGAUUGAUAUUCAAUUUACCAGUGGCGUUGUAUUGCUCAUCGACCCAAGAUCGUUGUGAGGAUGACCUCGAGUAACAAUUAUCUGCGUUCUUCCAGUUAAUCGGCGACUACGAUCGAAACGAAAAUUCAAAUUACUCGAAUCCCCUAGCGCUUGUACUGUCUCUUCCUAUACGAAGAAGCCUCGAUCCCGUUGCUGUAAUUAAUAGAACAUGGAAAGCUCAGACUUAUCGUGCUCACCCUUGUCCCAGCCACGGAAUCGGUCCCUCGAAUUAUCGAAUUAUCUAA